AAAGAGAACCUUGGAAUGUUUCAACUAGAUAUAUAUAUCUGUCUCAAUCUCUUCACUUUGUCAUUUUUCUUUUCUUUAAUUCUAUUGGGACCUGCUAUCACUUCCUUUGUUUACAAUGGCUCUGCUUCUCUCCAAGCUUUUGCAAUAAAAGCAAUAUAUACACUUUUCCUUUGCUGCUCUUCAAGAAUAGCACAAAGAUAA
rnacentral:lncRNA from 1 species